rnacentral:rRNA from 1 species
GGCGGACGGGUGAGUAAUGCAUAGUUAAUCUGCCCUUUAGAGGGGGAUAACAGUUGGAAACGACUGCUAAUACCCCAUACUCCUUUUACAUUAAUUGUAAUUGGGAAACGUUUUUUCGCUAAAGGAUGAGACUAUAUGGUAUCAGGUAGUUGGUGGGGUAAGAGCCCACCAAGCCAAUGACGCCUAGCUGGUCUGAGAGGAUGAUCAGCCACACUGGAACUGAGACACGGUCCAG